CAGCCGCCGCGGGAAUACGUAGGGUGCGAGCGUUAAUCGGAAUUACUGGGCGUAAGGCGGGCGCAGACGGUUACUUAAGCAGGAUGUGAAAUCCCCGGGCUCAACCUGGGAACUGCGUUCUGAACUGGGUGACUAGAGUGUGUCAGAGGGAGGUAGAAUUCCACGUGUAGCAGUGAAAUGCGUAGAGAUGUGGAGGAAUACCGAUGGCGAAGGCAGCCUCCUGGGAUAACACUGACGUUCAUGCCCGAAAGCGGGGGUAGCAAACAGGAUUAGAUACCCCGGUAGUCCCUGUCUCUUAUAU
rnacentral:rRNA from 1 species